AUUGAACGCUGGCGGCAGGCCUAACACAUGCAAGUCGAACGAGCGGCGGACGGGUGAGUAAUGUAUGGGAAACUGCCCGAUGGAGGGGGAUAACUACUGGAAACGGUGGCUAAUACCGCAUACUAUCGGAUGAACCCAUAUGGGAUUAGCUAGUAGGUGGGGUAACGGCUCACCUAGGCGACGAUCCCUAGCUGGUCUGAGAGGAUGACCAGCAACACUGGGACUGAGACACGGCCCAGACUCCUACGGGAGGCAGCAGGGGGGAAUAUUGCACAAUGGGCGCAAGCCUGAUGCAGCCAUGCCGCGUGUAUGAAGAAGGCCUUCGGGUUGUAAAGUACGUUCAGUCGGGAGGCGUUACCGACAGAAGAAGCACCGGCUAACUCCGUGCCAGCAGCCGCGGUAAUAC
rnacentral:rRNA from 1 species